CGGGAAACUGGGUAUAAUACCCGCUAGAUCUCGGAGGCUGGAAUGCAUCGAGAUUUAAAGCUCCGGCGCCCGAGGACGGAUCUGCGGCCUAUCAGGUAGUAGUGGGUGUAGCGUACCUACUAGCCUACGACGGGUACGGGUUGUGAGAGCAAGAGCCCGGAGAUGGAUUCUGAGACACGAAUCCAGGCCCUACGGGGUGCAGCAGGCGCGAAAACUUUACAAUGCUGGCAACAGCGAUAAGGGGACCUCGAGUGCCAGGUUACAAAUCUGGCUGUCGAGAUGCCUAAAAAGCAUUUCAUAGCAAGGGCCGGGCAAGACCGGUGCCAGCCGCCGCGGUAACACCGGCGGCUCGAGUGGUAACCGUUAUUAUUGGGUCUAAAGGGUCUGUAGCCGGCCGGAUAAGUCUCUUGGGAAAUCUGGCAGCUUAACUGUCAGGCUUUCAGGAGAUACUGUUCGGCUCGAGGCCGGGAGAGGUGAGAGGUACUUCAGGGGUAGGGGUGAAAUCUUGUAAUCCUUGAAGGACCACCAGUGGCGAAGGCGUCUCACCAGAACGGACCCUGACGGCAGGGAC
rnacentral:rRNA from 1 species